rnacentral:rRNA from 1 species
GAUCAUUAUCGUUGGGCUUCGGCCCAUUCGAGAUAACACCCUUGCCUUUUUGAGUACCUUUUCGUUUCCUCGGCAGGCUCGCCUGCCAACGGGGACCCUUCAAAACGCUUUGUAAUACCUGUAACUGUCUGAUAUAACAAGCAAAAAAUCAAAACUUUCAACAACGGAUCUCUUGGUUCUGGCAUCGAUGAAGAACGCAGCGAAAUGCGAUAAGUAGUGUGAAUUGCAGAAUUCAGUGAAUCAUCGAAUCUUUGAACGCACAUUGCGCCCUUUGGUAUUCCUUAGGGCAUGCCUGUUCGAGCGUCAUUUAAACCUUCAAGCUCAGCUUGGUGAUGGGUGACUGUCCUCCCCUCGCGGGGGGACUCGCCUCAAAAACAUUGGCGGCCGGUACAUUGGCUUCGAGCGCAGCAGAAACGCGGUCUCGAGUCCUGUGGAUCGGCUCCCAUGAACCUCUUCUUUUAUUUUGACCUCGGAUCAGGUAGGGAUACCCGCUGAACUUAAGCAUAUCAAUAAGCGGAGGAAAAGAAACCAACAGGGAUUGCCCUAGUAACGGCGAGUGAAGCGGCAACAGCUCAAAUUUGAAAUCUGGCCCUUUCAGGGUCCGAGUUGUAAUUUGUAGAGGGUGCUUUGGCGUUGGCUGUGGUCUAAGUUCCUUGGAACAGGACGUCGCAGAGGGUGAGAAUCCCGUAUGUGGCCGCCAGUCUUCGCCGUGUAAAGCCCCUUCGACGAGUCGAGUUGUUUGGGAAUGCAGCUCUAAAUGGGAGGUAAAUUUCUUCUAAAGCUAAAUAUUGGCCAGAGACCGAUAGCGCACAAGUAGAGUGAUCGAAAGAUGAAAAGCACUUUGGAAAGAGAGUCAAAAAGCACGUGAAAUUGUUGAAAGGGAAGCGCUUGCAGCCAGACUUGCCUGUAGUUGCUCAUCCGGGCUUUUGCCCGGUGCACUCUUCUAUGGGCAGGCCAGCAUCAGUCCCAGCGGUUGGAUAAAUGUCUGUUGAACGUACCUCUCUUCGGGGAGGACUUAUAGCUUCAGGCGGCAUACAACCAGCCGGGAUUGAGGUCCGCGCAU